CCGGCGACCGACGCACGGGUGAGUAACACGUAUGCAACCUGCCCUCUUCAGGGGGACAACCUUCCGAAAGGGAGGCUAAUCCCGCGUAUAUCGGUUUCGGGCAUCCGAGAUCGAGGAAAGAUUCAUCGGAAGAGGAUGGGCAUGCGGCGCAUUAGCUAGACGGCGGGGUAACGGCCCACCGUGGCGACGAUGCGUAGGGGUUCUGAGAGGAAGGUCCCCCACACUGGUACUGAGACACGGACCAGACUCCUACGGAAGGCAGCAG
rnacentral:rRNA from 1 species